GUCUAGUUAGUUUUAAUAUAAAAUAUGGUUUUUGUAAUACCAAGAGAUCUGUUUUGGUACUAGACU
rnacentral:tRNA from 1 species